UACGAGUGCCUCGAGCGUUAUCCGGAAUUACUGGGCGUAAAGCGUGCGCAGGCGGUUCGUUGUGUCGGCGGUGAAAGCCCCGGGCUCAACCUGGGAAUGGCCGUUGAAACUGGCGAACUGGAGUGUGGCAGAGGGGGGUGGAAUUCCGCGUGUAGCAGUGAAAUGCGUAGAGAUGCGGAGGAACACCGAUGGCGAAGGCAGCCCCCUGGGCUAACACUGACGCUCAGGCACGAAAGCGUGGGGAGCAAACAGG
rnacentral:rRNA from 1 species